GCUGUGAAUGAUGACAACUGGCUCCCUCUACUGAGCUGCCUUGAGGAAACUGCCAUGUCACCCUACUGACUACAGC
rnacentral:snoRNA from 14 species